rnacentral:tRNA from 1 species
GCCGCCUUAGCUCAGCUGGUAAGAGCGCCGCAUUCGUAAUGCGGAGGUCAAGUGUUCAAAUCACUUAGGCGGCC